UCCAGGACGUGAGUUUACGCUGAAAUUCAUUUUACAUCAACAGCAUCAUAUUUACAUGACUUUUUUCGUUUAAAAAGUUGAAGGAGAGGGGGGGGGGAAUGAUGUUGAAAAGCAGCCCGAAUCAAACCAGGCCAGUUGUAAAGCACAAGAUUCGAAUGCAACUGCCAAUCAAAUAAUAAAAACGAACGACUUGAUUUCAUGGUCAUUACAAAUCGCGCGAGGCAUGGAAUUCUUGGCCAGCAAAAAGGUAUUGCACGGCGACUUGGCCGCCCGCAAUGUCCUUUUGGCCGAUCACGGAUUCGUCAAAGUGGCCGAUUUCGGAAUGUCAAGACAAAUGAAAAAUUGCGAUUACCAGAAAAAAGGAGAUUCUGAGUUGUUGCCAAUCAAGUGGAUGGACAUCGAGUCCCUGAUGACGAAUAAAAUCUUUUCCAGCCAAUCGGAUGUCUGGUCCUACGGCAUUCUCUUGUGGGAAAUCUUUUCUGUCGGCAAAGUUCCGUAACCAGGAAUGAAUAAUGGUUGGGCGCUUGUAAAAGUUAAAAGACAUUCAAAACGGACACCGAAUUGAAAAACCGGAAAAUUCACCAAAUUUUUUUGGGGAAAUUAUGAAAAAAUGUUGGCAAUUAAACCCAAAAGAGAGGCCGGCAUUCUCCCAACUGGCAGAGAUGAUCGAAAAACACAUGGACUUCUUUGUCAGCUUGGAUUAUUUGAAUAUGAAUGAACCAACAGGUGAAAAUGAACAAAACGAAGAGACAAUCGAUCCUUCCUUACCCUAUCGUUUGGAAAUUAUCAAACUGUUUGACGAGGCAGCGCAUUCGUAGGCAACUGAAUUAUUGAGUCAUCUACGAUUUUGGAGUUUUAAGACAAUUGUUGAAUGGCACCUCUUUUGCACACAAAUUAAAAAAGGCGAAUUAACUCGGAAUUAACAUUUCCAAACGGAAUCCAAAUAUUUAAAUAAGGAUCUUGAAUUUCCCCUGGUAAUAAUAGCUUCCACCAAUAUUCACACAAUUCUCUAAAGGAUGCAGAUAAUACGAUGCCUGGAUUGUAUUUGCUCACGUGGAGAAACAGAACUGUUUCCACAAGACCCUUUUAUGGUAUCAUCACGCGAAUAAAUGAACUGCUAAUAACGAUGGUGGUAACGCUGGUGAUACAAUCAAUUUGAAACAUCACGAGUAUUACAAAGUUCUAUCGUUUCAGAUCAACUCGAUUCAUUCAUUCAUUACCAUGAGGAAGUUGACAGAAAAAAAAAGAAUUCAUCCAAACAAAUCGGGAAAUCGCCCAACGGAUCAGGGUGGAGAGAGGGGAAGAAAGCGAAAAAAAGGAGAAAAAUGCAUUACAAACGAUAGGCUUGUUAAUUGCUGUACAGCCACGAAACUAAAAAUAAUCCGAAAAAGCGAUAAAAACAUGAUCCCUCUAAAAUAUCCAAAAGCCUCGUUUCAUGUAAAAAUCUCUGUGAAAUACGCCUAACAAACUAACAGAAAUAUCGGCCAGUAGUUUUUCUAACAGAAAACUGACUCGACUGCUGCACAGGCCACGAACGGAUAAAAUCACAAACGAGAGGAAAAGUGUUGCUAUCAAAAUCAAAUUGAGGUAAUUAAAUCAGCGACAACAUCAAAAAUGCCUAAAAUAGAGAUUCAAGAGAUAGAUGACUUACUUCACAGGUAUUACUGUUGGUUCCUUAGCCAUGACCAGUUGCGCCAUCUCAUAUGAUGGA
rnacentral:misc_RNA from 1 species